ACGUCCUACUGCUUAGAUGGAUCCCAACUCAAGAAAUGUUCCAUGUCGGAAAUGUGGCCUCAGAAUCAAGGAAAUACGGCCUCCCUCGCAGAGGGAGAGCUGACAGAGGCCGAAGGCAGGAAAGAUCUGGGCCAGAGACAAUCUGCUGCCUCUCUUCGCUUUGGGUACAAAGGACAGGGGCCAAACGAGAGGCCAAAUAAAACUGCUUGGAGGUGAUUUGCUUGACUGCCUGGGAGCAAAGAGAAAGGGGGCAGGGACAGGGGCUGCGGCAGGCUGGCUCUGGGUGGUAUCUAAAUGACGGCUUUCGGAGAACUAAGACUCCCAAAGGCACUUAUAACAUGGGCUACGACGAAGGAAGCCAGCAUGAGGACAGGACUCAACCUCAGAAAGCCUACUGAUCAGAGAUCUGCUAGACUCUGGUAGGCUACAGAUCCCUGAAGGCUGCCCCAGACCCAGAGCAUGCAGAACCGCCACUCCUGUUCCAGAAAACCCCACCCUUCCGGAGAUCCAGGCCAGACUCAAGAUGGCUGAGAAAAAGAUCUGCAAUUAGUGUGAUGGGCUCAGAGAACUGCUGAUGGUUCCGAAUAGUCUUGUGCCAACCCGAUGCUGACAAUGCUGGACC